rnacentral:rRNA from 1 species
UACGAAGGGGGCUAGCGUUGCUCGGAAUCACUGGGCGUAAAGCGCACGUAGGCGGAUUGCUAAGUCAGGGGUGAAAUCCUGGAGCUCAACUCCAGAACUGCCCUUUGAUACUGGCGAUCUCGAGUCCGGGAGAGGUGAGUGGAACUGCGAGUGUAGAGGUGAAAUUCGUAGAUAUUCGCAAGAACACCAGUGGCUGAAGGCGGAG